rnacentral:rRNA from 1 species
UCGUGCGUAGUCGUCGCCUGAAGCAGUUUGCCGCGUGGGGUGAAAAGGUUUCGAUUGUAAAGUCUGCUCCCUCCGGAAGGAUCGGCCGGGCGAAUUGUCCGGUCGGAUGACGGUACCCGCAGAAGAAGCCCCGGCUAACUACGUGCCAGCAGCCGCGGUAAUAAA